rnacentral:pre_miRNA from 1 species
GCGAGGUGAGGUAGUAGGUUGUAUAGUUUGGUGGAAGGAAUCAUGCCUUCUCAGGAGAUAACUAUACAGUCUAUUGCCUUCCUUGA